rnacentral:lncRNA from 1 species
UUUUUUGGUGGUGGUGGUAAUGGAGAUUGAAUCCAAGGCCUCACGCAUGCCAAGCCAAGCAAGCACUCUGCCACUGAGUCACAUCUCCAGCCCUUCGACAGAUUUUAGGUAAUCAGCAAAAGACAGUUCUUGAUCACCUAAUGUGUAUCUGGCCUUGGGUGCUAGGUAUGAUAAAGGGAGAUGCAGUUUGGUCAAACAGAGGUUUUUUUGAACCUAUGCCAGACCUGCUGAAUUGGAACUUCAUGGAAGUUCUCUGGUGAACUCAAGCUGGAAAGACCUAACCUGAUUUCAUUUAUAAGAAAUAUCCAGAGGGUAAGGGAUGUAGCUCAGUGAUAGAGCACUUGCUUAUUAUGUGCAAGACCCUGGGUUCAAUCACAUACAUACACAAAAAGUGUGUGUGUGUGUGUAUCUUCAAAAUAGGCAAAUAUAUAGAGACACAAAGUAGAUUAGUGCUCACCUAGGACUGGGAGAGGGGGAGAAUGUAGGGACCUUAUAGGUAAUAGCUAAAUGGCAGAGUGGUUUUUGUUUUUUGUUUUUUUUUGGGGGGGGGUUAAUGAAAAUAUUUUAAAAUUGUGGUGAUAGUUACACAACUCUGAAUAUACUAAAAGUAAUUAAUUGUAUGCUUUAAUUGGUUAAAUUGCAUGAUAUGUGGAUUCUCAACAAAUUGUUCAAGAUAUAUAUAUAACAUGGACCAAUUUCCACAGUAACUUCUACAGUGGCUCAGGUAUCUAGGUAGUUGGUGACUCCAAGACCAUUAUCUUUCCUAGACCUGGGAAGUACUUGUUACCUAGAAUAGUCAACAAAACUUUUGGAUGCACCAGAGAGUACAAAGUAAAUAAGCAAUUGUAGUGGGGUAUGAUUAUUAUUAUACCAGGGCAAUUGCAGUUUCUUGUAACAAAAGCAAAUUGGAGGAAUGGGGACAUGGAAAAGUAGACAGGGUUUAAAAAUAUUUAGUGCAUUUAUCUGAGAGGAUUCCAAUGGUCAUGAUGAGGGGAUUGAGGAAAGAGUCAAAGAUGAGGUUCAAGUUUUAUGACUAGGUAAUUGAUGACCCCAAGAGUCCUGGAGGAGAAACAAUGUUUGAGGUGUUGAAUUUGAUUUUGUUAAGUUUGAAAUGCCCCAGAUGUUCAAAAAGUGUCCAGUCAGCAGUUGAAUGCAAGGGUUAUAAGGGAGAUGAGAGCUAUGUAAUGAUUGGCACAGAGCCUCAGCAUAGGUGGGACUUAGAGGAAUGGAUAAGGUAGUCCAG